rnacentral:rRNA from 1 species
AUGUUUCCCUCACUUUUGGCCUCCUGUUGCAAAGAGCAACUCGUAUGUGAUGUAUGUGAACUAGCAAAACAUACGAGAACUAAUUAUCCUAGCAACAGUGAGAGGAGUAAUGUACCUUUUGAAGUAGUUCAUUCAGAUGUUUGGGGGCCAGCAGUUGUAACCUCUCUAUCAGGAGAACGGUGGUAUGUAACUUUUAUUGAUGAAUCUAGUCGAUAUACUUGGCUGUAUUUGCUCAAGCGGAAAUCUGAUGUUUUGUCAGCAUUUAAAAACUUUUAUACUCUGGUGUGCAACCAGUAUAAUGCUAGUGUUAAAGUAUUUCGCUCAGAUAAUGGAACUGAGUAUGUUAACAAGGAUUUUGAUAAUUUCUUAGCUUCACAUGGCAUUAUACAUCAAACCACAUGUGUGAAUACAGCUGAACAAAAUGGGGUUGCAGAGCGAAAAAACAGACAUCUGCUAGAAGUUGCUAGAUCCCUCAUGUUUAUGAUGAAUGUGCCAAAAUUUCUUUGGGGUGAAGCUGUCAAGACAGCAGCAUAUUUAAUAAAUCGUAUGCCAUCAAGGGUUUUAAAUCAUAAGACUCCGGUUGAGUGUUUGAGUGGUGCUAAUUCUUUCAUUGUUCCCCCGAAGGUUUUUGGAUGUACUUGUUUCGUUCAUGACUAUAGGAAUUCAGCAGGGAAGCUUGAUCCACGUGCAGUUAAAUGCAUAUUUGUGGGUUACUCUCCUACCCAGAAGGGGUACCGGUGCUGGAGCCCUACCGAAAAAAGCCAGGGGGAGAAUAUGAGCAAAGAUGUUACUCCCAGUAGCCCAGCUCUAACUCCUAUGAUUGAUAUAUCUCAGUAG